rnacentral:lncRNA from 1 species
AUCUCUCAUAAAUACUAAAUCCAAAUUUGAUAGGCAAUCGGGCAUCAAAGUCCAUCGAUAUGAAACCUUGAUCGAAGAGUCCCAAACCAGUGGGACUCUUGAUCCCAGUACCCAAAAUGUAUGGAACUCAUGAUCAGAGAAUCCUGAUUCUCAAUCACAGAGUCUUCAAGCAUUUGGACUCUUGAUCGAAGAGUUCCAGUCCAGUGGGACUCUUCACCAGCCAUCAGAUC